UACCAGCUGGCUGCAACUGUUUAUUAAAAACACAGCACUGUGCAAACACGAAAGUGGACGUAUACGGUGUGACGCCUGCCCGGUGCCGGAAGGUUAAUUGAUGGGGUCAGCGCAAGCGAAGCUCCUGAUCGAAGCCCCGGUAAACGGCGGCCGUAACUAUAACGGUCCUAAGGUAGCGAAAUUCCUUGUCGGGUAAGUUCCGACCUGCACGAAUGGCGUAAUGAUGGCCAGGCUGUCUCCACCCGAGACUCAGUGAAAUUGAACUCGCUGUGAAGAUGCAGUGUACCCGCGGCAAGACGGAAAGACCCCGUGAACCUUUACUAUAGCUUGACACUGAACAUUGAGCCUUGAUGUGUAGGAUAGGUGGGAGGCUUUGAAGCGUGGACGCCAGUCUGCGUGGAGCCGACCUUGAAAUACCACCCUUUAAUGUUUGAUGUUCUAACGUGGACCCGUAAUCCGGGUUGCGGACAGUGUCUGGUGGGUAGUUUGACUGGGGCGGUCUCCUCCUAAAGAGUAACGGAGGAGCACGAAGGUUGGCUAAUCCUGGUCGGACAUCAGGAGGUUAGUGCAAUGGCAUAAGCCAGCUUGACUGCGAGCGUGACGGCGCGAGCAGGUGCGAAAGCAGGUCAUAGUGAUCCGGUGGUUCUGAAUGGAAGGGCCAUCGCUCAACGGAUAAAAGGUACUCCGGGGAUAACAGGCUGAUACCGCCCAAGAGUUCAUAUCGACGGCGGUGUUUGGCACCUCGAUGUCGGCUCAUCACAUCCUGGGGCUGAAGUAGGUCCCAAGGGUAUGGCUGUUCGCCAUUUAAAGUGGUACGCGAGCUGGGUUUAGAACGUCGUGAGACAGUUCGGUCCCUAUCUGCCGUGGGCGCUGGAAGACUGAGGGGGGCUGCUCCUAGUACGAGAGGACCGGAGUGGACGCAUCACUGGUGUUCGGGUUGUCAUGCCAAUGGCACUGCCCGGUAGCUAAAUGCGGAAAAGAUAAGUGCUGAAAGCAUCUAAGCACGAAACUUGCCCCGAGAUGAGUCUUCCCUGAGACCUUGAGUCUCCUGAAGGAACGUUAAAGACGAUGACGUUGAUAGGCCGGGUGUGUAAGCGCAGCGAUGCGUUGAGCUAACCGGUACUAAUGAACCGUGAGG
rnacentral:rRNA from 2 species